UAUGUAUGGGAUGUUGUACAUAGCAAGGGUUUAGUUAUAGAUAUUUAUUUAUUCAAAUAAUAUGAUUUAGUUAAUGGAAUUUAACUACUGUAAAUAGAAGCUUGAUUUGAGAAAUCCGAAGAUGCUUUUACACAACAUUAUUUUUGAAAUAUAGAGGAGAAAAGGAAAAUAGUUUUUCUCUUAAAAUUGUUCUUGCUCAUGUAUUGAGAACUCAACAAGAACAUCAUUAUAUACUUUAUCCUAAUAGCCCACACUAUUCCUUGUGUGUGGUGGAUCGAUUUAGAAGACACUGGUGUUUGUUCAAUUACAUCAACCAUAUCAUCUGGAGUUAAGGAUACAAUAUGCGAGAAGUUUCGAGGAUACCCUGAUAGUCUACAAGAGGUAUAUGUUCUAAACUUAUUAUUUCAUAUUUUUAUUUAAUGUACACACAUCUAAAUAUCUAUUGAGCUAUGGUACAAUGAUAAUCAGAUAAUAUGAAACUCUUCCACUGCGUACCUAAUUUAGUACCAUAAAACCAACUACAGGCCCCAUUGGGGAUGUCAAAAUGUAGGAACCAAAUAGAUAUGCCCCAUCCUCAGAUGUUGGUACCGAAGGUUAGUUGUGUGAUGAGAUGAAUUUGGGAGGUUCUGGUUAUGCCUCCAAUGUUUCUUUUGGUGUUUACAAUGCUCAGCAUCUUUUCCGAGAUUCAAUUGGCUCGACCAAAGAUUUUCCUCAACUGUCUUUCAGUCUUGAUGAGUUAUCGUGGUCUCAAUCUUAAAUGAGCCAAUUCUCCAAGGGAUACAACAGGUGCCUCGGAGAGUACACUCCUUCUUAAUGGAAUUGGUUGUAUAACUCUUCAACAGAAGAUUACUAGGAGGCAGCUUUCAAAUGCAGCAUAUGGGCUUUUGUCUUGCAGCAUUAUAACCCAAGCUCUAGUUCAUCUGUUGAGUGGGAUCUUUCUUGCCUUUAAAAAGUUCUAAAUGACUUUGUCGAGUCUAAUAACACGACCCACUCUAUGCGUAGGUUGAUCAUCUCCAAGCUGAGUUGAAGGAGAGCCAAUCCCUUGUGUCAAGUCUUACUCAGCAACUUAAAGAAUCUCUCUCCAUUCGUGAGAAGUAUUUUGCAAAUUUGCAAAUCUAACAAGAGAAACUCCAGGCACAGAUUAGCAAACUAUGUGUCCAUUUCCUCAUCUUAAAGACAAAGAUCAAGAGGAAGAGGAAGAAAAGAUUGAGCGCCCACUAUACGGUGUUUAGGUGAAGAAUCUUGGGGUCAAUUACAACAUCUUGGGCCCCUUUGCAAUUCAUAUCGUUGAGGUUUUCAAGGCUGAAUGUGGUGAAAAGAGUGUAGCAUGCCAAGGCAAGCAUCGUCGGAAUGCUAGCCUGUCGGGAAAUGGCACCUAGCAGCCUCUUUUUCGUGUGGAUGCAUUGUGUAGAGAGGCUUCAAAAUUUUCUUUAAUUUAUGCUUUUGAACUCUUAGAUGACUGUAAGACUUUAUUUUUACUUGUCCAUUUUACACUUGGGAGCUAGUCUUGGUCAAGUGGUUCUUCCUACUAUGGUGAGUAGAUUUUUUUGCUUUGCUUCUUAUGUAUCUUUAGUUUUAAAAAUUGAAGCUGGCCGAGUGACUCUUGGGAUCACUCUUUGGCCAAAUGACUUUUCCCACUAUGAUAAGCGGAUUUUGAUUUGAGAGAA